GGGAGACUGAUCAUCAGUCCGACUGCCUUUUCUGCCAAAGGUCGGCCGUCGGGUUGGUAUGUCACAGCCUUACGGGACAGUAAACCCCCUC